rnacentral:lncRNA from 1 species
GAACCGGAUGAGGCUUGCUGCUCCAGUGCCCGCAGCGCGGGGGAAAUGGCCACGGGAACAGACCAGGUGGUGGGACUCGGCCUCGUCGCCGUUAGCCUGAUCAUCUUCACCUAUUACACCGUCUGGGUGAUUCUCUUGCCAUUCAUCGACAGUCAGCAUGUCAUCCACAAGUAUUUCCUGCCCCAAGCCUAUGCCGUUGCCAUCCCACUGGCUGCCGGCCUCCUGCUGCUCCUGUUUGUGGGCGUGUUCAUCACCUACGUGAUGCUGAAGAAUCAGAAGGUGACCAAAAAGGCUCAGUGAAGGCCCAGCACGGAUGAGGCUGCCGGCGCCUUCUCUGCUUCUUCUCCAGGGCAGACCAAGGGUGGGGGCCCAGAGGACCCAUCCAGGCACUGAGGGCCCCUCAAGCCUGGCUACCCUGCAGACACCCUUGUGGGAUGGAGCUGCUCAGGACUCACCCCUGACUGACCAGAGCCCCUGCUCACCCUUCCAGAAGCCAGGAGGGAGGAGUCCCUGGAAGUCUCGCUCUCACCCUCUUCAGGUUCAGGACCUGGAAAACGCCGGUCCUCCCCACCUCACUUUUCAGACUCCCUGUCGCUUUUUCCUCUGGCUUCUACACUCUUGCCUCAGUUUCCCUCAUGUCACAUGCUGUUGCUGGACUUGGCAGGUUCUGGGGCGUCACGAGACCUCUCCCCCCAUGUCCUGCUCCUCCACAAAGGCAGCUUUCCCGGGUCUGACAUACCCCAGACCCCACAGGGAUUUCUGGACCUGGAAAGCCUAGGGGGAGGCCUGACAGGCCCCAGAGCCCAUUAGGGUGGCCACACGGGGGGCCCCUGGAUUGACCGCUUCUCACGGAGGCCCAGCCCCCCAGCCUCAGUGCUGGCCUGUUGGGGAGAGCUGAACAAUAAACGGUGGUGGUGUGUUUGUCUCAGUGCCGUCCCUGACCAGGGGGCUGGGCCGCUCAGGGGCUGGAGAGGGGCUGGGCGCGGCCUCUGCGUUGGUCUCGGGUCGGGAGACCCUGGUGUGUGCAGUUGGUGCCUCAGAUGCCUCCUGGAUCAUCUGUGUGCUGGACACAGGAUAAAGCAGGGACCGGGACCGGGACUGAUGCGGGUCUGGCCUGGUGCAGCUGAUGGCUGGGGGGUCUGUGGGGGCACGGCAAUCUGCCAGACGCCACAUCAGCCUCUACCAGGUCUCCCCCGUGCCAGCCUAGACAGCUGGCACUGGUAUUUUACGGACCCUCAGGCUAGUCCCCGAAAAGCCAAGCCUGUCAUCUGUCUCUUGUACCCCGCAGCCCAACUUAGCGUGGCUCUGAGCAGAGGGCUGUUAUGAGCCAGAGCAGGGCUGGUUCCACUGUGUUCAGGUUAACCGGCACAGGCCCCAGCCUUAGUCCCUGGCAUCCCACCAUGCCCCACUGGGCAGCCAGCUCUCCCAUUCACAGUGUGAGCCUCCACCCCUCACACCUUGGACAUUCAUUUUUCCUCCGUUAGCAAAGGUGUCCCCCUCAUCAGAGAAGAGAGACCAACUGCAGGCGCACCUGCCCUGUCCUUACCUGUCUCUCUCUCCAUCUUCCAGUCCAGGCAGAGCUGCCCACCUGGACUCUGGGUCCUGUCCUCUCCCACUGCUAUAGCAGGAGCCUCCUGUCUGAUGAUCCCUCUCAAGGGAACAGCCUCUGCCUUUCAACAAGGUCCCCCAGUGUUAAAUGAACAUGUUACGGGCUCCGUUUAAGGGACCCUCCAUCAACCCAGUAAUUCCCUCCGGGUCUCUCCCGCACUUUCCCCUCCACAGCCAAACUUCCCAAAAGGGUAUCCACACCUGCUUCCUGCAUUUCCUCACCCCUGCUGUGCGUGGCAGCAUUCCAGGUGGGCUGCGCUCACCACCCGUGAUGUGCAGUCUUUAAAUCCAAAGCACAUUUCCUUGACCCCUCUGCUACAUUUGGCCGGUGACCUCCCCCCGGGACACCCUCAGACGCUGGAUGACCCGUUCUCCUACUUUAUGCUCUCUCUGGCACUCAUGCUCCUCUGCCCUGAGAGGGUGGGUUCCUCGGGACUCAUCACAGGCUGUUUCACCCCACACUCUUCUGGGUGACCUCAUCCUUACCCAGGCUCACCUCUAGCCCAGCUUUCUUCUGAGCCCCAAAGUACUGCACGUGCACCAGCUGCCCACCUGAGAUCCCCAUCGGCUGUUGUAGUGACACCUCAAAUCCAUCCUGUCAUGAUCUGAAUUCUCAGACUUACCCAGUCUCCCCCCGCACAAAUCUGGCUCUCCCGUCGUGCCCUGCCUUAGCAUCAUCAUCCUGUAUCCCUGACCCACAGCCAGAAGCCUGGCAGACAUCACUGACCUUGGCUUUCCUCUUCCACCCCCCGAUCCACAUGACCCCAAAUCCUGUCAAUUCUCCCCUUACCCCGUCACCUUCCAGAUACAAAGCCACUGUCCCCUGCCCUAAAUCACCAAAGGCUUCCUCACUGCUCUCCCCUGCCCACAAUGGCCCGCUCCAAUCUGACUGCACUACAACCAGUGGCCUUUUGAAAACAUCUGAGCAUCUUUUCUUUUUUUAAUUUUUAGCUGCACCACGCUGCACGCGGGAUCUUAUUUCCCCAACCAGGGAUCGAACACGCACCCCCUGCAGUGGAAGUGCAGACUCUUAACCACUGGACUGCCAGGGAAGUCCCUGAGCUUUUUUUUUUUUCUUUUUCUGAGAAUCUUUCUCACACACUUACAAUGCUUCUCUGGGUUCCUGUCCCCCUCCCUCCCAUGGCCGGCCGACAAGAGCCUGCAUGCUUGCUUGAGCUCUCCUCACUCCAGUCACACUGGCCUUUCAUUUCCUGGGACUCACUGAGGUUCUCUGCACAUCCUACUCACAUUGGUUCAGCAUGUACUUCUCAAACACUGGUUUGUGCAAGGUACUGAGCCAGGGAAGGAGCCUGGCAUGGUUCCUGCCCUCCUGGCACUCCCACUCUGGGUGGGGGAGGGGAGAUAUAAUAAACAAAUAAAUGAACAAGACAGUCUCU